rnacentral:misc_RNA from 1 species
AAGAGUAAGGGUCCCAGUGGCCCAAACCUCCAACCCCGUGCGUACCUUACUCCACAAGUUGCCCUGGCGCAUUGUCGUCCCUGCCGAAAGGGGGGUUCCGGCGUGCCUGCCGAGGGUCAAAAGAAAAAACUCCACCGAAUCUAACCUUGGAAGUCUGAGUCUAAACGAAAAUAGCUAAA